rnacentral:lncRNA from 10 species
AAAAGUGACUUCUCACCCGAAAGUUGACAGUCAGCUCCAGCUGGAGGCUGAAGGUUCCCAGAAAGACAGAUUGGCCUGGUCUGACGCUCCAGCAGGCUGCCCUCCAAUCCCUGCCGGCAGGCACCCAGGGUGGCCAAUGACUAGUGAGUUAGUGGACACCCAAAAGGCAUUUUUUUUUAUUGUGGUAAAAUGUGCGUAAUAUUUACCAUUUUAGCCAUUUUUAAGUGUAGAGUCCUGUGGCAGUAAGUACAUUCACAAUGCUGUGCAACCAUCACCACCAUCCAUCUGCAGGACAUUUUCAUCUUCCCAAACGGAAACUCUGUGCCCAUUAACAUGAGCUGCCCACUCCCCCCUCCCAGGC